GGAGUGGGCCAGGCGACCGCUGCGGAGCAAUCCGGGGAGGAAAGUCCGGGCUCCAUAGGGCAAGACGCCGGCUAACGGCCGGGAGGCGCGAGCCUACGGAAAGUGCCACAGAAAAGAUACCGCCCAAGCGCGCAAGCGCCGGUAAGGGUGAAAAGGUGCGGUAAGAGCGCACCGCGCUUCCGGCAACGGAAGUGGCAGGGUAAACCCCGUCUGGAGCAAGGCCAAAUAGGCGUGCCAUAGCACGGCCCGUGCUGCACGCGGGUAGGCUGCUGGAGCCAGUGCGCAAGUGCUGGCCUAGAGGAAUGGUCGCCCACGACAGAACCCGGCUUAUCGGCCCACUCCCCUC
rfam:Acidithiobacillus caldus SM-1, complete genome.